CUCAGCGUAUGCUCGUCUCUCGCCUCUGUGUCCUUCUCUAAACGUGUGCUGUCUGCGGGAACGGACGGCCCUGUAACAACUUGCCACCCCCUCCAUAGGACCCCUAACUCUGUUUUUAUAAUGUUUUUCUGAAUAUAAGGGCCAAUAAAUUAAAACUUUCAACAACGGAUCUCUUGGCUCUGGCAUCCAUGAAGAACGCAGCGAAAUGCGAUAAUUAAUGUGAAUUGCAGAAUUCAGUGAAUCAUCGAAUCUUUGAACGCACAUUGCGCCCGCCAGUAUUCUGGCGGGCAUGCCUGUUCGAGCGUCAUUACCACCCUCAGGCCCCCGGGCCUGGCGUUGGGGAUCGGCAGAAGCCCCCUGUGGGCACACGCCGUCCCUCAAAUACAAGGCGGUCCCGCCGCAGCUUCCAUUGCGUACUGCUAACACCUCGCAACUGGAGAGCGGCGCGGCCAUGCCGUAAAACACCCAACUUCUGAAUGUUGACCUCGAAUCAGGUAUGAAUACCCGCUGAACUUACCCAUAUCAGGAACCCCGAGGAAA
rnacentral:rRNA from 1 species